UUCAGCAGUAAAUUCAAGGGACGUAAUCGAUCGAUUCUCUUUAAUUUCCUCCACUUUUUCUCAUCGAAAAUAUUUCCAUUAAUUUUUAAAUCAAUAUUUUCUGUUAAUUAACCGUUCAAUUAGUCUUGUGUUGUUGUAAUGUAACCUACAAGUUGUAAUAUCGUUCAUGUAAUAAUAUUUCUUAUCUAAGACCCAUAUUUAUCAAAUGCAAACAUUGUUUUGAAAAACGUUAUUGAUUUUCAUAAAAGAAAGGGUGGAAUCAUUGAUAAAAUACAAAAAAGAAAAAUAUAUUGACCCUCACCUAUAAAUAUCUCGAUAUUUAAUAUUCAACUUUUAUUUAGCAAACUUCAAUAAACUCUAUCUUUCGUUAUGAUCUUCGUUAGAAACCCUCUCCUCAGAUAUCUUACUUUCUUCUAUUGCCGCACGUUAUUCACAAUAGACAUUGUUAGCUUUCUAUAAUACUUAAACCAUGUUCUUUAUUAUUGCAAGAUGCUCCUGCGUUUAAACUUCACUUUUACACAAUUUCGCUUACGCUUGAAAGGGGGAAAGUUUGUUAGUUUUGUUUUUAACGGUAGUAUAGUCAUAAAUUUUUAUGUAAAGGUGAAAUUGUCAUCAAAAUAUUUCUAUGACCCACAACUUCUAAUCAAUGAGAAGAAAUUGUAAAAGGAAAAGAAAAAAAACGUUUUAUCUAAAAUAAGAACAGGAUAAAGAAAUUGGAAAUAAUUAUAAACCUUAUUUUAGAUGAAUUAAUAAUUGGUGAGAGGGAGUGCUAUGUCCAAAAGGCUAUUAAUAGUUGAGUAGCGAAAAAUAAGUUUCCAUAACCAUUGUACAUCAAAUAUUUCCACUAUCCCUCAGUGCAAGACUUUCCUUCCCUUAACGAAUAUUCUUAAACCCAAUUUUUUUUUUCUUUUUACAAGUCAUUGCCGUCUUAUUGGUAAAAUAUUAGCAUCCUUAAACCGAAGACUUCUAAAAAAAAUUCCCUAGCAAGUUUCUUAUUGAAAAUCCUGAGCCAACAGGUUCUAAAUCUUUACCACCAGAUCCCACCUUGGAGUAAAACCAUGAAAAAAAAAUCCCAAUCAUUUUAAGCAUACUGGCUUUGAAUAUCAGUCGAUGAGAUAAUGGUCAUCUUUGUCUUUUAGUGAAAACUGGACUUUAGCAUAUGUUUGCAUUGGUCUUUCCAAUUUAAUUACAGUCGGGCACUUAGCACAUUUGGGAGGAGGGGUGUGUUUUUUUACAAAUAAACAAAAUUUAGAAAUAAUUAUUUCAUUUUUAAUUAUGCUAAGGAAGGUAUUAAUUUUUCUCGAUAUAAUAUCGUUGUUGUAUUUGCAGAAUUUCCUUGAAAUUUUCCUAGUUUCCUAUAAAUUCACCUGAUGUAAGAUUUUCAUGUGCGUGUAUGUAAAUAUAAAGUAUACAUCAUUAUAUAUAUAUAUAUAUAUACAUACACACACACACACACACAUAUGCCCGACGCGCACACAGACACAGUCGUAUAUUGUAGGAAGAGGUCUGCUAUAAUUCCUGAAAGCGUGGAACAAUUGAAAGUAGUUUUGUAUUUACUGUUAUUCUUAAUUUCUGUUUAUCACAUUUUCUGUUUUUGAUUUUUGUCGUGUUCGUGAAUUCAUUCUAAGUGCGUCAAACCAAAAUCCAUCUCUAAGAAUCUAUAAAUAAGCCUUUUAGUUUCAAAAAGCUAUAUGUUUAAGAACCAGACUAAAGCCUAUAAAAUCGUAUGUGUUGUUAAUUACAACUGCUUUCAGAAAUAAAUUACAGAAAAUUCACAGCAACAACAAGAGACAGUGGCAGUUGACAUGGAUUCAAGAAGUUGUUGGGAUACAAAUCUCUUAACCACACACAUGGUAACCAUAUUUUUCUUCUCACGAUUUCAAUAAACAAUUGUUUCAA